rnacentral:lncRNA from 13 species
GUGCUCGGAGAUCAGUAGCUGCAGGGAGCUGUGACCAGCUUUGUGAGAUCAUACCCAUCUGCCCCUGGGCUGCCACAUGACCAGCACCUCAGGGCAUCUGUGUUCUGCUGCUGCCACUACAGCUGGAGUUAGAAGAACAGUGUGUACCUCCCACCUUCUCAUGUCCCAGGGCCUCUCUGUGGUAGAAUCAGAAUUGGAACCCCAGUGACAAAUGAAUCUGGGAAACGUGGUUUCUAAAUUCCAGCCCGUAGAAUAGAAGGAAAAGGUUAGAAAGACAAGGAUAGUGAUAUAUACCAACAAAUCAAACUUGGCAAACUCUUGAAUUUACUUUUUCUCUUGUACACUCUAUAUCUAAGCACAUUAGGGAGUCCUUGAAAGUCUUACCUUCAAAAUAACUGCCAGAAUUAAUGAGAAUAGGCUCCACGAUAGAAGAGAUUGAAGUGGGUUUCUCUCACCCAGGCUGGAGUGCAGUGAUGCCAUCUCAGCUCACUAUAGCCUCUGCCUCCUGGGCUCAAGCAAGCCUCCCACCUCAGCCUCUCCAGCAGCUGGGACCAAAGGUGUACGUCAUCAUGUCUGGCUAAUUUCUGUAUUUUUAGUAGAGAUGGGGUUUUGCCAUGUUGCCCAGGCUGGUCUCAAACUCCAGAGCUCAAGUUAUCCACCUAUCUUGGCCUUCCAAAGUGCUGGGAUUGUAGGUGUGAGCCACUGCACUUGGCCAAUUACCUUCUUUUUUUUUUUUUAGUGCCUAUUAUGUGCAGAAGAAAAACUUUAAUUAGCAAAGAUCAUGAAUGAAUCUUAAAAUUUUACCACUAAUUUCCCAAAUUUCCUGAUAUUUACAUAUACACAUAGCAAAUUUAUACACACACAUACAUGUAUCUAUCUGCAUAUACACAGCACACACAGUCACACCAUGCUACUCACAUAUACAACAGACAUAUUCAUGUAUAUUCAUCAGUGAGCAAUGAUUGGAAAGGCCAUGGUACAGGAUGAACUUUUGUAAUAAGAAAGACUGAUACUGCAUGGACACAGAAAGGGGAGUACUAAACACCGGGG